rnacentral:rRNA from 1 species
UAAGGAAUAUUGGUCAAUGGGCGCAAGCCUGAACCAGCCAUGCCGCGUGCAGGAAGACGGCCCUAUGGGUUGUAAACUGCUUUUAUCAGGGAAUAAACCCCCGCUCGUGAGCGGGGCUGAAGGUACCUGAAGAAUAAGCAUCGGCUAACUCCGUGCCAGCAGCCGCGGUAAUACGGAGGAUGCAAGCGUUAUCCGGAUUCAUUGGGUUUAAAGGGUGCGCAGGCGGAUUGGUAAGUCAGGGGUGAAAUCCCACAGCUCAACUGUGGAACUGCCUUUGAUACUGUCAGUCUAGAGUAUAGUUGAAGUGCGGAAUGUGUCAUGUAGCGGUGAAAUGCUUAGAUAUGACACAGAACACCGAUCGCGAAGGCAGCUCGCUAAGCUAUAACUGACGCUCAUGCACGAAAGCGUGGGGAUCAAACAG